CCUACGUGUGGCAGCAGUAGGGAAUAUUGCUCAAUGGGGGAAACCCUGAAGCAGCAACGCCGCGUGGAGGAUGAAGGUUUUAGGAUUGUAAACUCCUUUUGUGAGAGAAGAUAGUGACGGUAUCUCACGAAUAAGCACCGGCUAACUCCGUGCCAGCAGCCGCGGUAAUACGGAGGGUGCACGCGUUACUCGGAAUCACUGGUCGUAAAGAGUGCGCAGGCGGGCUUGUAAGUCAGAUGUGAAAUCCUGGAGCGUAACUACAGAACUGCAUUUGAAACUAGGAGACUAGAGUGUGGGAGAGGUAGGUGGAAUUCUUGGUGUAGGGGUAAAAUCCGUAGAUAUCAAGAGGAACACUCAUUGCGAAGGCGACCAACUGGAACAUUACUGACGCUCAGGAACGAAAGCGUGGGGAGCAAACAGGAUUAGAUACCCUUGUAGUC
rnacentral:rRNA from 1 species